CUCCAACAGCCGAGCCCAGGCCGGCCUCUGUCCCAGUGGGGAGGUCAUCAAUCGAGCCAGAGAGAUCCUGGAACGCAAGCAGAGACUUACAAUGCUCUGGUGUCGUCCUCUGAACAUGACAAAUAAAAGGGACGACUUAAGAGAGGAAGAAAAGAGCUGGCUUGACAGUGACGGGUGCGGUGGAGGUGAGCGUGUGAAGGAACAUCAGAAGAAACCCAGGCAAGAAAGCCCUGAGCAGUAAUUUUCAGAACAAUCUGCAUCCUACAUUUUGAAGAUACAACAAACCGAGACAUGGGAGAAAUGUCAUGAAAAGUGACAACACAACCAAAUCUAAAAAUCUGACAAUAAGAAAAGAAAUCACAAAGCUGUCAGAAAUGAAAAAAAAGGGAACAGGCACAUGCACCCUCUGAAUUAACUUCACGGCUGCGCUGCCACAGUCGAGCAGGCAAACACGCAGCCGUACGAAGAAAAAAAAAAAGCUCCUCAGAAGCCAACGAGUAAAGUGUGAGGAACAAAAACACGUCAAUCUGCUUCAUCCAAAAAAGAAUCAGAGCUGCUCCGCCGUGUCCUUUGAGAGAUCGUUUUUUUAACUCUUCCCUGCUCCACGUCGACGUCAUCCGUCAGAAGAUGACAAAUGUGACAUGACAGCUCCGCUCGGGAAGCUGCAGACGGAAAACUACUCACAGCCAGCACAGUCUGCACGAAGGGGAAGUUUCUUGGAAACAGCAUUUUUAAAUAAGCGUGUGUUCUGAAAAUGCGAUAAAGAGGUUAAAUAAAAAGUCUAUUUGGCAUCACAGAGUUAUAAUGUUGAAUUCAAUAAGGGCAAUUAAACUUUUAAUUUAAGAAAUUUACAAAUUGGCACAUGGAGCCCUCAGGAAUUUAAAAUAAGAAAAAAAACCCUUUGCGGGCUCAACAACAUGAAUUGCAACAACUUUUGUGAGUUUUUUCUUUCAAUUUUAUUUUUAGCAUGUUUUGUCCCAGCAAAGAAAACAGUAUGGUGGGUCCGGCUGCCGUAUAGUGUCAGGGCAGACGUCCAGAACAAAAGCAGAGUAAGAUAAUCCCACUGUUACAUAAUCCAACUUUAUGGCAUUAAAAGCAUCUAUUUCAGGCAAAAAAGUAAACAGGCAGCAACAAUUAUUAAAGAGAAAGUUGAUAAUUGAGAGAAGAAAAGCUGACUAGAGAAACUAGUGAAACAGUAAAAUCUGCCUAAACUUGCCAAAACACUGCACUGAUUCUGAUUCAGAACUCAAACAUGCCAUUGUGCAUAUUAACACAAUUAUUUGAGCUGAAAAGUCAUUUUCUAGUAAAACAAAUGCAGAUACAGUAAACAGCCAACGUAUAAACAAAUGUAUUACAAUUUUCCUUUAUAACAUUCUUAAGGCUUAAAGUUAUUCUAGUGAGAUUUAAGAGAAAAAGUCAGAGUCUAUAGAUUUACACAGAGCAUCCCGCCUCGAAUCUUCAUUUGUUUCUGAAUAAUGCAAAACAAGUAGCUAAAAGAAGACUUCUAAAUAAGAAUGCCCAAUGUAUGGAGGCAGAAAUGUUUUCUUCUUUUUUUAAAAAAAUGUUUAAGGCUGUGAAAAACACAGGUUGAGUAGCUAAGAGAAUUUUAUGAAGGUAAUGAUGUUUACAAACUACAGAUGAACCAAUCAGACAUUUCGUAACCGAUAUUGAUUUUUCUUUUUUUUUUGCCUUUAUUUUUUGUAUUAUAGUUUUUUCUGUCCUGCCGAUUCUGAUCCCAUUUUUUUUUACAUUUGGAAAUGUGUGUAAGAAAUGUGUUUUGUUGACAUAAUAAUUUUGUAUUCAGCAGAAAAUGAAGGUAUCCCAGGACACUUAUUAAAAUCAUCAACAUACCUACUGUCGGUUAAUAGAUUAAACAUAGUGGGAGUUCCAAGUUUUGAUACAUUUAAUAGAAGAAAAAAGUUCAGGUUUUACAGUUUUUUACUUGCCAAUCACCAAAAAUUAUCUAAAGACCUCUGAUGGACUGGCACAUCUUUGCUUACUAACACACAAGCAAUUUGUAGCUCAUGAUGCAAAUAUUAAGUAGAUUACAGGCUGGCUACCUCAGCAGAUAUCCUGACUAAAGGACAAAUAUGUCUAACCUGUACCUGAGCAGGAAUUCUGCAAAUUAAACCAUUAACACCUUCAAAUAAAUUUUGUAAGU